rnacentral:rRNA from 1 species
GUAGGUGGCAAGCGUUGUCCGGAAUUAUUGGGCGUAAAGCGCGCGCAGGCGGUUCUUUAAGUCUGAUGUGAAAGCCCACGGGCUCAACCGUGGAGGGUCAUUGGAAACUGGAGAACUUGAGUACAGAAGAGGAAAGCGGAAUUCCACGUGUAGCGGUGAAAUGCGUAGAGAUGUGGAGGAACACCAGUGGCGAAGGCGGCUUUCUGGUCUGUAACUGACGCUGAGGCGCGAAAGCGUGGGGAGCAAACAGGAUUAGAUACCCUGGUAGUACACGCCGUAAACGAUGAGUGCUAAGUGUUAGGGGGUUUCCGCCCCUUAGUGCUGCAGCUAACGCAUUAAGCACUCCGCCUGGGGAGUACGGCCGCAAGGCUG